UAGACAAAUCAAAUCUGCCAAAUCUUCUCC
rnacentral:piRNA from 1 species